CACGCUCGCGUGCGCGCCAACUCCUUUCCAACAUUUCUCCAUGCCAUAAAAAUUCCAACAAAAUUCCAUCUAAUGCAUUGAGUUGUGUGCCAAAGGGUGGAGGGUGAUGUGGGCUGCCACAUAGGUCUUAAUCCCAAAGCAGAAGGACUCUCUUCCUUUUUCAAGCACAAAUACAUGUGCCCUCCUCUUCUAGCAUGCCAGGAGUCCAUCCUAGUAUGGAUUUUUGGUUUUGGUACCCCAGAGGCCAUAUGGUGCCAUCUAAUGUCUGCCAUACCCAGGUCCAAACCUAAAUUAGGCCUUAGCUCAAUUUGAUUUUAUCAAGAAGCAAGAUUCAAACUGAAAUC
rnacentral:lncRNA from 1 species